rnacentral:rRNA from 1 species
GAUGAACGCUAGCGGCAGGCUUAACACAUGCAAGUCGAGGGGCAGCGAGAUUGUUAGCAAUAACGAUUGUCGGCGACCGGCGCAAGGGUGCGUAACGCGUGAGCAACUUGCCCGUUUCUGGGGAAUAACCGUUGGAAACGACGACUAAUACCCCAUAGUAUCCGAUUGAGGCAUCUCUUUGGGAUUAAAGAAAUUCGGAAACGGAUAGGCUCGCGUGACAUUAGCUAGACGGCGGGGUAACGGCCCACCGUGGCGACGAUGUCUAGGGGUUCUGAGAGGAAGGUCCCCCACACUGGAACUGAGACACGGUCCAGACUCCUACGGGAGGCAGCAGUGAGGAAUAUUGGUCAAUGGUCUGACGACUGAACCAGCCAUGCCGCGUGAAGGUCACGGCCCUAUGGGUCUUAAACUUCUUUUGCGAGGGAGCAAUAAGGCGCACGUGUGCGUCGAUGAGAGUACCUCGCGAAUAAGCAUCGGCUAACUCCGUGCCAGCAGCCG